GCUUCUUUGAAGCUGGGGACAAUAUCCCUGCU
rnacentral:scRNA from 1 species